rnacentral:tRNA from 1 species
GGCUCAGUGGUCUAGGGGUAUGAUUCCUGUUUUGGGUGCAGGAGGUCCCGGGUUCAAAUCCCGGCUGAGCCC